rnacentral:rRNA from 1 species
UACAGAGGUGGCAAGCGUUGUUCGGAAUUACUGGGCGUAAAGGGCGCGUAGGCGGCUUGGUCAGUCCCGUGUGAAAUCCCUCGGCUCAACUGAGGAACUGCACGGGAAACUGCCUGGCUUGAGUUCGGGAGAGGGAAGCGGAAUUCCGGGUGUAGCGGUGAAAUGCGUAGAUAUUGGGAGGAACACCAGUGGCGAAGGCAGCUACCUGGACCGGAACUGACGCUGAGGCGCGAAAGCGUGGGUAGCAAACAGG